AGAGUUUGAUCAUGGCUCAGAUUGAACGCUGGCGGCAGGCCUAACACAUGCAAGUCGAGCGGUAGCACAGAGAGCUUGCUCUCGGGUGACGAGCGGCGGACGGGUGAGUAAUGUCUGGGAAACUGCCUGAUGGAGGGGGAUAACUACUGGAAACGGUAGCUAAUACCGCAUAAUGUCGCAAGACCAAAGUGGGGGACCUUCGGGCCUCAUGCCAUCAGAUGUGCCCAGAUGGGAUUAGCUUGUAGGUGGGGUAACGGCUCACCUAGGCGACGAUCCCUAGCUGGUCUGAGAGGAUGACCAGCCACACUGGAACUGAGACACGGUCCAGACUCCUACGGGAGGCAGCAGUGGGGAAUAUUGCACAAUGGGCGCAAGCCUGAUGCAGCCAUGCCGCGUGUGUGAAGAAGGCCUUCGGGUUGUAAAGCACUUUCAGCGGGGAGGAAGGCGUUAAGGUUAAUAACCUCAUCGAUUGACGUUACCCGCAGAAGAAGCACCGGCUAACUCCGUGCCAGCAGCCGCGGUAAUACGGAGGGUGCAAGCGUUAAUCGGAAUUACUGGGCGUAAAGCGCACGCAGGCGGUCUGUCAAGUCGGAUGUGAAAUCCCCGGGCUCAACCUGGGAACUGCAUUCGAAACUGGCAGGCUAGAGUCUUGUAGAGGGGGGUAGAAUUCCAGGUGUAGCGGUGAAAUGCGUAGAGAUCUGGAGGAAUACCGGUGGCGAAGGCGGCCCCCUGGACAAAGACUGACGCUCAGGUGCGAAAGCGUGGGGAGCAAACAGGAUUAGAUACCCUGGUAGUCCACGCCGUAAACGAUGUCGAUUUGGAGGUUGUGCCCUUGAGGCGUGGCUUCCGGAGCUAACGCGUUAAAUCGACCGCCUGGGGAGUACGGCCGCAAGGUUAAAACUCAAAUGAAUUGACGGGGGCCCGCACAAGCGGUGGAGCAUGUGGUUUAAUUCGAUGCAACGCGAAGAACCUUACCUGGUCUUGACAUCCACAGAACUUAGCAGAGAUGCUUUGGUGCCUUCGGGAACUGUGAGACAGGUGCUGCAUGGCUGUCGUCAGCUCGUGUUGUGAAAUGUUGGGUUAAGUCCCGCAACGAGCGCAACCCUUAUCCUUUGUUGCCAGCGGUCCGGCCGGGAACUCAAAGGAGACUGCCAGUGAUAAACUGGAGGAAGGUGGGGAUGACGUCAAGUCAUCAUGGCCCUUACGACCAGGGCUACACACGUGCUACAAUGGCAUAUACAAAGAGAAGCGACCUCGCGAGAGCAAGCGGACCUCAUAAAGUAUGUCGUAGUCCGGAUUGGAGUCUGCAACUCGACUCCAUGAAGUCGGAAUCGCUAGUAAUCGUAGAUCAGAAUGCUACGGUGAAUACGUUCCCGGGCCUUGUACACACCGCCCGUCACACCAUGGGAGUGGGUUGCAAAAGAAGUAGGUAGCUUAACCUUCGGGAGGGCGCUUACCACUUUGUGAUUCAUGACUGGGGUGAAGUCGUAACAAGGUAACCGUAGGGGAACCUGCGGUUGGAUCACCU
rnacentral:rRNA from 4 species